GGAUUACAGGUGUGAGCCACCGUGCCUGGCUUCUUUUGAUAUCUCGUUAUCUCCUGUUGGGACCACAGCAUUUCACUAAUCAGCCACUUGUAGUUUUUGAUUCUGGCUUCCUUCAGGGAAGACAUGCUACAGUCAUCCUGACUAGAGGCUCUGGAGAUCCCUCAAGCCUUUUCUAAGGAUGCGUCCUCCGUGGACUUUUUGAUUGUAGCUUAACUAAAGAGCUUGUGCCAGUUUGUAUGCAGGAAUGCCUCUGUUGUCUGCCGGCUGUUCCGCAGCCUCGCUGGUGUCCUAGUAAGCUGGGGGCUGCACCGCCACCUAAUGUCUGCGUACGUUACUACAAGCUCUGGUUUAUGACGGAUGGCUUUGUUCUCAGUAGCUUCCUUACCUGGGGUCCUGUUACUUCAGUGUUUAUAUUCAGGCAAGACAGAAACUUGUCCCUUAGCAGUGCCCUGAAAAGUCAGAACGUUAUGAGCCUUGUGUUGUGUUACAGGAAAAAAGAGAAAAAAAAAGUCAGAAUGUUAGAUGGAUAUUCCCAUACUUUCUCUCCCCAGGAGAAAAUGGAAGUGUGGUUUUCUCACAGUGAUACUACAUCAUGGCAGGAUAGGGCCUCAGGUGAGCAGGUGUUUCAAAAGAGUUCUGACCUCUGAUGUGGUUGCCAGAUUUCCCACAAAGACAAUUUGGUCCAUGUAGUGUUAUUAAAUCUGUGUCUCCAUGGGUAGUGCUUGGGACUUCCUACUCCUCUGUCUUAUAGACAGCAUCACUUCAGUACAGUUUUCUUUUUUUGAGAUGGAGUCUCACUCUGUCACCCAGGCUGGAGUGCAGUGGCGUGAUCUCGGCUCACCGCAACUUCUACCUCCUGGGUUUAAGUGAUUCUCCUGCCUUAGCCUCCCGAGUAGCUUGGAUUACAGGCGCCUGCCACCACGCCUGGCUAAUUUUUGUAUUUUUAGUAGAGACAGGUUUCACCAUGUUGGCCAGGCUGGUCUUGAACUCCUGACCUCAAGUAAUCCACCCGCCUCGGCCUUUCAAAGUGCUGGAUUACAGGCAUGAGCCGCCACGCCCGGCCGCAUUAUCAUUUCUUAAGAUACCAGUUGUGCUUAUUUAGUUCAUGUAGUUAUUGAAUAUCACUCAGUAUGUCAAACAUAAUGUCUAACACUUCCAUAGAGAUAACCUUGUUUUCUGUUUUUUAUUUGUAUACUUAUUGCCCAUAAAACUGAGAAAUCGACACUGAUAUAGAGGAUAUCACAACCUCUUAGGUAAAAGAAUAAUAAGACAGAAUUAGGGAGACAUAACUUGCUCAAAAGUCCUUAAUGCGUAGGAAAAUAUGGGAAAAACAGACUCAGUUUCUCCUGCUUUGCUUCCAUAAUACAAAUACUUCUGUGAUUUUGGAUGUAUUGGGUUUUCCUCUACACAUCAAAUAAACAAUUCUGCAACAGACACCAAAUGGGUGUUCUCAUAUUUGAUUCCAUUCUGACACUGUCUAUCUGGAUAUAGGGUCAGCUCCCAUAGGCUGAGGGCUCAAUCCCACAACAGCGCACACACAUUAAUGCCAGUCACAAACACAAGUUGUGGCCUGUGCUUCUCAAUGACCAGCUGUGAAUUGUGAAUUCUGAUGACCCCCUCCUUGAAAUUGAUUAGUUUGCUUGAGUGGCUCACAUAACACAGGGAAACACUUAUAUUUACCCAUUUAUUAUAGAAGAUGCUACAAAGCACACAGAUGAACAUCUAGAUGGAAGUGAUCUAUUAGUUGAGAUAUGGGAAAGGAGUGAGGAGCUGGGAUGUAUUCUCUCAUGUAUUCUGUCUUUUUUGAGUUUUCAUGGAGGCCCCAUUAUGGAGGCCUUGCUUCCAUUAUUGGCAUUGGUGAUCAACUGAACUUUCAUUCCCUCUGUCCUCCCGAGAGGACAGAGGCUUAGUCUAACCGAGCCUCAGCCUUUCCAGUGACCACCCACCGAGCCUUAGUUCCGGUGACCGCCCUCCAUCCUGAAGCUACCUAGGUGCUCCAGACACCAAUUAUCCCAUUAAUGUACAAAAAGAUACUUAUCACUCCACUGAUUUCAAGUGAGCUCUUAUGUCAGGAGAGGGGGAUGAAGACCAAAUCUGUAUGUCACAUUGUCACAAUCUGGAUCUGUCAGCUCACCCACUUCAAUUUAACCUAUUCUCACAUUUUUCUCCUCUUCUCCUUUUAUGUGAAAUUUUGAACUCUCCCCUUAGCCACUUGGUGAAAUGUGUUUUUCAUUUUAGGUACGGUUGACAUUUAGGGAUGUGGCCAUAGAAUUCUCUCAGGAGGAGUGGAAAUGCCUGGACCCUGCUCAGAGGAUCUUAUACAGGGACGUGAUGUUGGAGAACUACUGGAACCUUGUUUCUCUGGGACUGUGUCAUUUUGAUAUGAAUAUUAUCUCCAUGUUGGAGGAAGGGAAAGAGCCCUGGACUGUGAAGAGCUGUGUGAAAAUAGCAAGAAAACCAAGAACGCCGGAAUGUGUCAAAGGCGUGGUCACAGGUAAGAGCUCAGAUGGGCAGAGAGAAGGCCACUCAUUAACUAGAGUGUGGGAGGGGGCACAGUAGCUCACGCCUGUAAUCUCAACACUUAGGGAGGCCAAGGUGGGCAGAUCACUUGAGGUCAGGAGUUCGAGACCAGCCUGACCAACAUUGUGAAACCCUAUCUCUACU
rnacentral:lncRNA from 1 species